GCUCUCCCUCCAUGCUUUCCCCCCUUGCUGAACCCUUCUUUCCCUCCCUCUCCUCCUCCUUCUCCUCCUCUUCCUCCUCUCCUCCUCCUAUUUCUCCUCUUCCUCCAUUCUCUCCUAUCUCCUUACACUCCUACUCCCCCUCUCACUCUCCUUUAUCUCCCAUUCCUCCCUCGCUCUUUCCUCUCUUUCCCCCUCCUCUUCGCCCUCUCGCUCAUCUUUUUCUCCCCUCCCUCCCCCUGUAUCUCCUCUUCCUGUUUCUCCUCUUCCUCCAUUCUCUCCUAUCUCCUUACACUCCUACUCCCCCUCUCACUCUCCUUUAUCUCCCAUUCCUCCCUCGCUCUUUCCUCUCUUCUCCCCCUCCUCUUCGCCCUCUCGCUCAUCUUUUUCUUCCCUCCCUCCCCCUGUCUCUCCUCUUCCUCCCUCUCCUCCUCCUCCACUGACCGGCCGCUGGAGUCUCCGGAUUUCGGAGGAUGAGGACAAACUCUUCGUCCUACGGAAGCUCCCUCCACUCUCUCCCUCCAACACUUUUUCUGUGGAGUGGGCUCCUGUCUCUCCUCCUCCUCCUCCCCCUGUCUCUCCUCCUCCUCCUUCUCCUCCCCCCCACUGACAGGCCGCUGGAGUCUCCAGAAUUCGGAGGACAAAAACAAACUCGUCUUCAUCCUUCGGAGGCUCCCUCCACUCUCUCCCUCCAACACUUUUUCUGUGGAGUGGGCUCCUGACCAACCGGCAGGAGCCGCUCCAGUGAAUGUUAAUAACCCCUCUGCCUUACCUCCACAGGCCCAGCAGCCGGCUGCCAAGCCUCGUGCAAAGGCAGUGGGUCCGGUUCCAAAGUGGGUCAGGAACCUUCGGGCCCUCAUAAAGUUGAGGAACGGGCAACGCCGCCCCCCAAGGUGGACGACCCCGGGACCCAAGACAGAGACGAGGACGACCCCAAGAGACGACAAAAGACGAGACAGCGAAGACCAGUGAAGACGAGCGACCGAACCCCGACAGAGAAGAAGCCAGAGACGACGACCGGCCAGUGAGGAGAAGGAACAACUACUUUACUGAGACUUUACUGGAUGCACUGGUGCUUCAGAGAUGAUGGGAGGCAGAUCCAGGACCAGUGCAUGGCUCAUGAGACCAUUCAAUUAACACAAGAGCUCUCUCUCCAAGACCACUAAUAAAGAUCAAAUCAAGAAACAAGACCAGGACCAGCCCAUAAUGUGGAAGAGGGGAUGAUUAUUAUAGUGACACAGAAGGAGGAAGUCAGAACACCCAGAGAAAAACCAUGCAGUCCCAGAGAGAUCAUGAACAGAAAGAAUGAACUGAGCAGCAGAAGACAAAGAAACAGCUGGAGGAGCCCCAAGAUGACGGAUCAGCGACAGAAGAACUAGGACGGGAAGAUGAAGAAGAUAAAGACCAGUCCAAACAAAGAAGAAGAUGAACUCCUCCAGAUAUCAUCAAAGGUUUCUCUGAAUCUUGGAGUUCCAUGUGUCUGAUCCGGUGUUUUUGGCCUCAGCGACCUCCAAAGCCUUCAACUUCUCUCCCUCCUCUUUACCCUCAAACCAACCAGAGUUUUGCUUUUAUUUUUCUUCCCAGAGGGAUGUUUUUUUUUCCCUUACCCCAUCUGGAGGUUUUUUUCAACUUCCUGGCAACAGGAAGUUUUUUUCCUCCAGAUGGGCUUGAUUUGAUCACACUACAAAAAGAGAGAGCCUCAAAUAAAAAACAAAA